GAUGAACGCUGGCGGCGUGCCUAAUACAUGCAAGUCGAACGGAAAGACGAGGCGCUUGCUCGUUUGACGUUAGCGGAGGGCGGGUGAGUAACGCGUGGAUCCCGUACCUGUAAGAGGGGGAUAACUACGGGACACGGGCGAAUAUCGCGGAUAAUAUACUGAUCCGCGUGGUGGGUUAGAAAAAGUCGGCUUUGCGGUAUGUAAUAGAUGGAUCCGCGCCGUAUUGGCUAGUUGGUAAGGUAACAGCUUACGAAGGCUACGAGGCGUAUCCGACCGGAGGGGGUGAUCGGCCACCUUGGAACUGAGCCGCCGUCCAUACGCCUACGGGACGCAGCAGUAUGCAAUCUGCCGCAAUGGGCGGAAGCCUUACGGAGCAACGCCGCGUCUGUUAUGAAGGUCCUCCGAUCGUAAAGCUCGGUUUUUAGUGAAGAACAGAUGUGGAAUUUACCAUGCACGUCGUGACGGUACCUAAUCAGAAAGCCCCGGCUAACUACGUG
rnacentral:rRNA from 1 species